UUUCCUCUGUUCUGUUUUCAUUGCAAUUGCUGUUGAGAUAAUCAGAUGUUCGCUCCAAGUGAUAAUUUCUUAUUUGUUUACCCUGGCCAUUUAAUGCCCAAGCUAGGCUGUGGCUGGAAAGAUGAGAAUUCAGCAGGGUAGCUGGUGACAUCUGAGAGUGGGGAGGCAAAAUUGGCACCAAGAGGUGUACUCAUAGCCAGCAAUGAGCAGCAGGGACUGGGCUGAUUGCAGCAGACAAUGGAGAAUAAGGCAAAUAUAGCAGUUACUCCCAUAAAUAUCACAGUUUUGUGAAUAUCACAGUUUGACUUGUAAAACCUGCCUGAUGAAUUUUUCCUCAAUGAAGCCAUUCUUCACUUGCAAUGUUUCUACAUUACCUGUUUUAUCCUCCUCGUCUCCAUCCAAUGUUCGAGCCAAAUGAAACGAUACUUUUUUCGCUGUUGUGGGGAUACUCUAUGAUUUCUCAUCAGCACAUUUUAACUCAUCUGCUUCCUCUUUUCUACUCUUUUUUUUUUUUAAUUCCAAUUACCUUUAAAUAAUUUGUUACAAUGAUCUUCCUUUACGAAAUCUCUCCUUAUUCCACAGAGUUUUCAAAA